rnacentral:sRNA from 1 species
GCUGGGUACAGUGGCUCAUGCCUAUAAUCCUAGCAACUUGGGAGGCUAAGGCAGGAGGAUUGCAAGUUCAAGGUUGGCCUCAGCAACUUUGUGAGAACCUGUCUCAA